rnacentral:rRNA from 1 species
CCUACGGGGGGCAGCAGUGAGGAAUAUUGGUCAAUGGGCGCAAGCCUGAACCAGCCAUCCCGCGUGCAGGAAGACGGCGCUAUGCGUUGUAAACUGCUUUUCCAGGGGAAGAAAACCUUCGACGUGUCGAAGCUUGCCGGUACCUUGGGAAUAAGCAUCGGCUAACUCCGUGCCAGCAGCCGCGGUAAUACGGAGGAUGCGAGCGUUAUCCGGAUUUAUUGGGUUUAAAGGGUGCGUAGGCGGAUUGAUAAGUCAGCGGUGAAAACCUUCAGCUUAACUGGAGAAUUGCCAUUGAUACUGUCAGUCUUGAGUACGGUCAAGGUAGGCGGAAUGUGUAAUGUAGCGGUGAAAUGCUUAGAUAUUACACAGAACACCAAUUGCGAAGGCAGCUUACUGGACCAAUACUGACGCUGAGGCACGAAAGCGUGGGGAGCGAACAGGAUUAGAUACCCGAGUAGUC